AGUGAACGCUGGCGGUAGGCCUAACACAUGCAAGUCGAACGGCAGCACAGUAAGAGCUUGCUCUUACGGGUGGCGAGUGGCGGACGGGUGAGGAAUACAUCGGAAUCUACUUUUUCGUGGGGGAUAACGUAGGGAAACUUACGCUAAUACCGCAUACGACCUACGGGUGAAAGCAGGGGAUCUUCGGACCUUGCGCGAUUGAAUGAGCCGAUGUCGGAUUAGCUAGUUGGCGGGGUAAAGGCCCACCAAGGCGACGAUCCGUAGCUGGUCUGAGAGGAUGAUCAGCCACACUGGAACUGAGACACGGUCCAGACUCCUAUGGGAGGCAGCAGUGGGGAAUAUUGGACAAUGGGCGCAAGCCUGAUCCAGCCAUACCGCGUGGGUGAAGAAGGCCUUCGGGUUGUAAAGCCCUUUUGUUGGGAAAGAAAGGCAGCAGGUUAAUACCCCGCUGUUCUGACGGUACCCAAAGAAUAAGCACCGGCUAACUUCGUG
rnacentral:rRNA from 1 species